AUGACAAGUACUUUUACAGCCAUUUUUAUUUGCCUUUUGUUGUUACAAUUUCGGUUCUUGUAAAACGUCAAGAUUUUGUACUAUAUUUAUACAUUUACAGUUUCUUAGUUUACAUAUAACAAAGUCAAGGGUUACCAUUACAUUUGAUUACUAUUACGAUUACGUUGCAAUUACAACAACGAUUACGACAUCAAUCAUGAUUACGACUACGACUAUGACUACGAUCACAACACGAUCACGAUCACGAUCAAGACUACGACUACGACUACGAUCACGAUAACGACCACGAUUCUGAUUCCGAUUAAGAUUAAGAUUAAGAAUCGGAUUACGACUACGACUACAACUACAAUCACGAUCACGACUACGAUUCCGAUUAAGAUUAAGGUUAAGAUUAAGAUUCCGAAUAAGAUUAAGAUCCCGAUUACGACUACGACUACGAUCACGAUCACGAUUAUUGUCACGAUUAUUAUCACAAUUGCGAACACAAUUACGAUUGUAUAAAUUGUGAUAUCGACAUAUAUAAAUUAUAAUAUCAAAAAGUAAAUGUCAGAACGUAAAAUUGUAAGAACAACUGUAAGAAAUUGGACAUUUACAUUUACUCCAAGAAUGUUAUAAUCGUGUCAAGAAUAUUAGCUAGAGCUAUUGCUCCUGAAACCACAGAAUCUUUAUGUGCUCCAAUUUGAGUUAUAGGUAUAGGAGCAUUUAUUCUAAAAACAGUUAACUGUAGCGAUGGAUCAUUGGAACCUAUAAUCUUUCUUUCUAUGGAUAAUUUCAUUUUCUCUUGAAUAUAUGUUAAAAUCUCCUGUUCCAGAGAAGUUAAAGUUACGAUGUCACAUUUCUCUAUAUCUGUAAAAUUCGUCUUAAAGCUCUUGACAGUAUUAAAUAUUUCCAUGAAUUUUUCCUCGCUACCAUUGCAAACAGUAUUGUAAACGUACUGUUUGAAGAACGAAUGAUAAUUUUCGAAAUCAAUAACUUCAUUUUGAAAUAUUCGUCCUAGGUAACUCUUGACCUUUGCAUCUAGAUAUUUUUUUUUCUUAUUUGCUUGAGAUUUGGUUUCGUUUAGUUUACAAUUAUCUAUUUUUAAACUUAACUUGUCAAGAACAUCAUUGUCUAUGUCAGACAACUUGUCACAGUCUUCAAAAGGAUUAUAAGAUCCGCAUUCAUCUUUGUUUGCAACUGACGGAUCAUUAGUAUUUGUGAGACGUUCUAAUAUCUUUUUUGCUACUCUUUGUUUGACUUGCUUUUUUGUAGUUCCCGUUGCUUCUUCAGUUAUUGACCCUACUGUACAGGACAUGGUAAACACUUGUUCGUGUGCUAGGCCAGUUAUAUCAGUAAUUUGAUACUCUGCCUGCGUUAAUUUAUUUUCUACACAGUAUUCCUAAAAAACCAGAAAACUUUCUUAUGAUCAUGUUAUAGACAAAAAGUAUUUACAAAAAAUAUAUAGUAAACUGUAAAGAGAAUGAUGAUGAAAGUAUAUAUAUUCUAUUAUAUAUGUACUUUAUAUAUAUAUAUAUAUAUAUAUAUAUAUAUAUAUAUAUUCACGAAAUUAAAUAAAGAAAAAAUAAUAACUCAAAGGAGUCAUACUUGCAAAGAUCCAACAUAAUUUUUAAGGUCUUCAUGCAUUAAUGUUGAAUCUAGCAAAGCUUGUCCUGAUGUUGAAGGGGAAGCAUCAGGAUAAAUGUCGUUUGAUGAUGAUAGUGGUCUCGUCUUGGAAAUAUCAUUUGGGUCUUCCAAUAAUGUUAACAUAUUCUGAGCUGCUUUCUGCUUCGCAUCUUUUUUACUCAAAGCUUGUCCAGUUGCUGAGAAAUCUUUAUAUUUUACUUCAUAAGUAAAUAUAUUUAUGUGCUUACCAGUUUCUGAACGAAGCAAUGUGUAAACUGGUAAGAAGCCAUCUUUCACUCCUAACUCUUGUAAAAUCAUUAUUGCCGUUUUAACCAUCUUUACUGAAUAAAAAUAAUUGAAUGAGGUGCUAUCGAAAUUGAGAAAUGUAACUUUUUCUUGAACGUUUUAACGUUUUUAAUAACUAAUAGGAACUUAAAAUUUUUUUCUUAUACGAUGCAGUACACGCCCUCAACAAGAGAAGAUGACUGACAAGUAUUGUACGUUGGGUAUUGUGCUAAUCACCUUUUACUAAUGGCCAUAGAUACGGUCUACCUCAGGAAAGAGUUACCAAUCAGCAGAUCUGUCUACUGCGCAUAGCUCAAUCGAUUUUUCAUAUACCUAUAUACAUAUGAAGUGAAAUAUUAUUAUUAUUAUUUUAUAUUACAUGAAAAUAAUAUUAAUAAAAAAUUAAGUGCAUAUGUAUAUAUAUGUGUGCGUGUGUGUAAGCAUAUAUAUAUACAUAUAUAUAUAUAUAUAUAUAUACAUACACAUAUAUAAUAUAUAUACAUAUAUAAACAUAUAUACAUGUAUAUAUAUUAUAUACCGCAUUACAUAGGACAAGAUUCAACAUCAUGGGACAAAAGAACAAGACUUCUCGAUGUUACUCGCUAAAUAUUUUCCAUUUCAUUUUUUUCCUCACUUAUUGUCGUCCACUGAUUGUUGGUUAUUUUCGUUUGUCUUUAAAUACUAGCGUAUAUAUGAGUAAAAUGUGCUGACGUAAUAAGUCCCUUUAAAAGGCAUACAUGGAAGGAGAAAUUCAGCAAGAUGGUGGAAAUACAAUUACUAUUGAACUUAGAAAAUACGUGGAAUUAUGGGUAUAUUUAGGUCAAUUUUCUUGAAAUAUUAUAUACACGAAAGCUUUCUUUAUUCGAAUUGAUAAUAUUUCUGCUUGUAAUACGUUAUAUAAUUACAUGCUAAAUUAUUUUUAAAAUUCGAUCGGUUGAACAGAGGAGAGUAUAUAAAUAUGUACGCAGUCAUAAAUUUUCAUUGUACGGUAUAGAUUAUUUUUAUUUAUGUCAAUUAUUGUAUAAACACAACCAUAAGAAGUACAAUAUCAUGUGGAAUAUUACGGGUAGACAACAAUAAUCGAAUAUAUUUUCAUCGUACAUUAGUUAAUUUUGUAAUAUUUUAUAUUAUAUGUUAUCAAAAAUAAAAAAAAAUUAUACAAAGAUGAGAGGUCACUUUGAUAAAUCGAACUGGGAACAAUGCUUCCUUUUUUUUCGACGAUUCCUCUUUUUUUUUCCCCAAAGAAAAAAAUUCAAAUCCAUAUUAAAUAUUUUUUAUAUUAUGCUUAGAAAUUGAGAAUUUUAUUGUUUAAAUAUAAAUUAUGAAAACAAUAUAGCGUAUGGAUAAUUUAUCCAAGUUAACAAAUGAAAUGAAUUUAGCAAUAAAUGUAUCCAAAAUUUUUCUAUUACAAAUCACUCUCAAGUGUAGUUGUCUUAUACUGAACAGCAUUAUUUCACAAUUCCUUUAACACUUAUUUAUAGAUCAUAAAUAAAGCGGAAAUUAUCGCGUUUGAACGAUUUUCAUGAAUAGCGUACCAGCCUGUAUAUUUUAAAUCAAAUCACAAUAAAUUAGCAGCGCUUAAGACGUAUAUCUUCAAACUUUCAUUCAUAACUUAAUAUAAUAAAUAAUUUUUUAACAAAUAAAUAAAUAAUAAUGCAGAAUAAUGCAGAAAUUAGAAGAAAAGCAUUGACUGAAAUACGAGUUAAUUCAUAUAUUCCCGGAUAAUAACUUAUCAAACCAAAAAUAACAUGUUUCGCAUAGGGAAUUGUCUUUAUACACGUAAUACGAUGACAAGUACUUUUACAGCCAUUUUUAUUUGCCUUUUGUUGUUACAAUUUCGGUUCUUGUAAAACGUCAAGAUUUUGUACUAUAUUUAUACAUUUACAGUUUCUUAGUUUACAUAUAACAAAGUCAAGAUGCAGUAUACGCCCAGAACAAGAGAAGAUGACUGAUAAGUAUUAUACGUUGGGUAUUGUGCUGAUCACUUUUCACAAAGGGCCAUAGAUAUGGUCUACCUUGGAAAAAAGUUAACAACCAGGAGAACUAUCUACUGCGCAUUGCUCAAUCAAUUUUUCAGAUACCUAUGUACAUAUGAAAUAAAAUAUUAUUAUUAUUAUUUUAUAUUAAAUGAAAACAUAAUAUGAAUUAAAAAAUAUCUGUGUAUAUAUAUAUGUUUGUAUAUAUAUAUAUGCAUAUAUACAUGUAUAUAAAUUAUAUACCGUAUUACAUAGGAGAAGAUUCAACAUCAUGGGACAAAAGAACAAGACUUCUCGAUGUUACCCCCUAAAUAUUUUCCAUUUCAUUUUUUUCCUCACUUAUUGUCGCCCACUGAUUGUUGGUUACAUUCGCUUGGCUUUAGAUACUAGCGUCUAGAUGACUAAUGUGCUGACGUAAUAAGUCCCUUUAAAAGGCAUACAUGGAAGGAGAAAUUCAGCAAGAUGGUGGAAAUACAGUUACUAUUGAACUUAGAAAAUACGUGGAAUUAUGGGUAUAUUUAGGUCAACUUUCUUGAAAUAUUAUAUACCCAAAAGCUUUCUUUAUUCGAAUUGAUAAUAUUUCUGCUUGUAAUACGUUAUAUAAUUACAUGCUAAAUUAUUUUUAAAAUUCGAUCGGUUGAACAGAGGAGAGUAUACAAAUAUGUACGCAGUCAAAAAUUUUCAUUGUACGGUAUAGAUUAUUUUUAUUUAUAUCAAUUAUUGUAUAAACACAACCAUAAGAAGUACAAUAUCAUGUGGAAUAUUACGGGUAGACAACAAUAAUAGAAUAUAUAUAUUUUCAUCACAACUUAGUUAAUUUUGUAAUAUUUUAUAUUGUAUGUUAUCAAAAAUAAAAAAAAAAUUAUACAAAGAUGAGAGGUCACUUUGAUAAAUCGCGCUGGGAACAUUGCUUCCUUUUUUUUUCGACGAUUCCUCCUUUUUUUUUCCCCCAAAGAAAAAAAUUCAAAUAGAUAUUAAAUAUUUUUUAUAUUAUGCUUAGAAAUUGAGAAUUUUAUUGUUUAAAUAUAAAUUAUGAAAACAAUAUAGCGUAUGGAUAAUCUAUCCAAGUUAACAAAUGAAAUAAUUAUAUAUUUAUACUAUUACAUAGUAUAUCAAUAUAAUCAAACAUUACAUAAGUUUCUCAUCCGACACAAAGUUUCUUUUAAAGUGUUGGCAAAUUGUGUUGCGUCUGCUUUUGUACUGGAUUUGAAGGGAGAGCAACGAAAGAGAAUAUCGUUCUCUCGAGGAUUAUAACAACAACCGUAACCUUCUGGUACAACCGGACCGUAACACAUAAAUGACGAUGUUUUAUGAGGUACCUGUUGAUUAGAGAAUUACAUCAAAACUUGUAUCCACAAUUGUAAACAUGUUUAUUCGGAAUAACUAUGUUUAUUUCUUACUUGACUCGUUGUUAAAUCAUAGUAUGUACUUUUAAUAUAUGCAACAUCCUUAUACAAUUCUGGAAGACACAUUGAUUCGAUAGAAGCUAUCAUUUUUAAACCAAAUAAGUGCCUAUCGACACCUUGUCCAAAUGAAGGCUGAGCAGAAAAAUAAAUUUUAUAUCUUUAAAUAAUUUGUUAAUAGAAGACUUCAUUAAAGCAUCGAGUAGUUUGAAAUAAUCUUUCACUAAUCGAUAUAUUCAUCUGAUAUCUAAUAAUGACCUCGGUUGCAGUCGUUUUGUUCGUUUAUGGCUGUAAACAUCAUCUCUUUUCAUUGUUUUUCAUCCGUACAUCCAUCUUUACUCAUGGCUUUUGCAAAUGACACAGAUUCGGUGCUAGUCCAUCUGAUACAUUCUGUCCUUGCAUUUUUAAAUCUUCUUAAUCCAGCGCUUCCAUAAUGAUUAGGUGAAAAGAAAAUCAUAAUUAUUCUUUUGCUUGUUGUGUAAUUUUGCACAUAAUAAAUAUAAUUUUACGCAUAGUUAAUGUGCGUGUAGUAAUUAUAUGACAUUACAUGUAUGACACUUAAUUAGAUAGUAAUAUAAACCUACCUAUAAUUCCAGGAGAAGUUGCUAAAUUACUCCACAAUUGUAUUGUUUUAUAUGGAAUCUGAAAUAAUUUAACAUCUUCGUACAAAGUUAAAUAAAUAAUGUCAGAUGAUCUGGAAAAAGAAAAAUAGCUUUGGGUUUUACUCCAACUUCUGUCCCAUGUUUGACUAGUCUAUAGCCCUCUAGAAGAAUCUGAUCGUUCUUCUUUCGUUUCUUACGAGACUUUACAUUUAUCAUUAAAGACCUAGAAAAAAGAUAUAUUUGUAUAUCAUUUUAUUAUUAAGAUAUUAUGAUAUUGUAUAUUGUAUACUGACCUAGUAAUACUAUCAUUUUCUUUGAGUUUGAUGAUACGAUUGCUCCAUCCGUUUUUAUUAUUGAUCUUAUCACUUUCCUUAUCUAAAAGAGUUUCUUCAUUUGGAGAAACUUUUUUUUGUGAUUUAAUUUUUCUGACCAUGAUACUCUGUCGUUUUCUCUGUAAUAUCUUUGUAUCAGUCACAUUUUGAUCAUCAAACAACUCAUUUUUAUUCACUAUUGCAAUUGGUUUACGAUGUUCCCAUCUAGUAUACUUACAUUUUCUUUGUAGAUCUGUUGUAGGUUUAGCAAUAAAUGUAUCCAAAAUUUUUCUAUUACAAAUCACUCUCAAGUGUAGUUGUCUUAUACUGAACAGCAUUAUUUCACAAUUCCUUUAACACUUAUUUAUAGGUUAUAAAUAAAGCGGAAAUUAUCGCGUUUGAACGAUUUUCAUGAAUAGCGUCCCUUCCUGUAUAUUUCAAAUCAAUUGACAAUAAAUUGGCAGCGAUUAAGACGUAUAUCUUCAAACUUUCAUUCAUAACUUUUUAAUAAAAUAAAUAAUUAAUUUUUUAAUGUAAUAAAUAAGUAAUUUUUUAAUAAACAAAUAAAUAAUAAUGCAGAGAAUAAUGCAGAAAUUAGAAGAAAAGCAUUGACUGAAAUACGGGUAAAUUCAUAUAUUCCCGCCUAAUAACUUUUCAAACCAAAAAUAACAUGUUUCGAAUAGGGAAUUUUCUUUAUACACGUAACACGAUGACAAGUACUUUUACAGCCAUUUUUAUUUGCCUUUUGUUGUUACAAUUUCGGUUCUUGUAAAACGUCAAGAUUUUGUACUAUAUUUAUACAUUUACAGUUUCUUAGUUUACAUAUAACAAAGUCAAGGGUUACCAUUACAUUUGAUUACUAUUACGAUUACGUUGCAAUUACAACAACGAUUACGACAUCAAUCAUGAUUACGACUACGACUAUGACUACGAUCACAACACGAUCACGAUCACGAUCAAGACUACGACUACGACUACGAUCACGAUAACGACCACGAUUCUGAUUCCGAUUAAGAUUAAGAUUAAGAAUCGGAUUACGACUACGACUACAACUACAAUCACGAUCACGACUACGAUUCCGAUUAAGAUUAAGGUUAAGAUUAAGAUUCCGAAUAAGAUUAAGAUCCCGAUUACGACUACGACUACGAUCACGAUCACGAUUAUUGUCACGAUUAUUAUCACAAUUGCGAACACAAUUACGAUUGUAUAAAUUGUGAUAUCGACAUAUAUAAAUUAUAAUAUCAAAAAGUAAAUGUCAGAACGUAAAAUUGUAAGAACAACUGUAAGAAAUUGGACAUUUACAUUUACUCCAAGAAUGUUAUAAUCGUGUCAAGAAUAUUAGCUAGAGCUAUUGCUCCUGAAACCACAGAAUCUUUAUGUGCUCCAAUUUGAGUUAUAGGUAUAGGAGCAUUUAUUCUAAAAACAGUUAACUGUAGCGAUGGAUCAUUGGAACCUAUAAUCUUUCUUUCUAUGGAUAAUUUCAUUUUCUCUUGAAUAUAUGUUAAAAUCUCCUGUUCCAGAGAAGUUAAAGUUACGAUGUCACAUUUCUCUAUAUCUGUAAAAUUCGUCUUAAAGCUCUUGACAGUAUUAAAUAUUUCCAUGAAUUUUUCCUCGCUACCAUUGCAAACAGUAUUGUAAACGUACUGUUUGAAGAACGAAUGAUAAUUUUCGAAAUCAAUAACUUCAUUUUGAAAUAUUCGUCCUAGGUAACUCUUGACCUUUGCAUCUAGAUAUUUUUUUUUCUUAUUUGCUUGAGAUUUGGUUUCGUUUAGUUUACAAUUAUCUAUUUUUAAACUUAACUUGUCAAGAACAUCAUUGUCUAUGUCAGACAACUUGUCACAGUCUUCAAAAGGAUUAUAAGAUCCGCAUUCAUCUUUGUUUGCAACUGACGGAUCAUUAGUAUUUGUGAGACGUUCUAAUAUCUUUUUUGCUACUCUUUGUUUGACUUGCUUUUUUGUAGUUCCCGUUGCUUCUUCAGUUAUUGACCCUACUGUACAGGACAUGGUAAACACUUGUUCGUGUGCUAGGCCAGUUAUAUCAGUAAUUUGAUACUCUGCCUGCGUUAAUUUAUUUUCUACACAGUAUUCCUAAAAAACCAGAAAACUUUCUUAUGAUCAUGUUAUAGACAAAAAGUAUUUACAAAAAAUAUAUAGUAAACUGUAAAGAGAAUGAUGAUGAAAGUAUAUAUAUUCUAUUAUAUAUGUACUUUUAUAUAUAUAUAUAUAUAUAUAUAUAUAUAUAUAUAUUCACGAAAUUAAAUAAAGAAAAAAUAAUAACUCAAAGGAGUCAUACUUGCAAAGAUCCAACAUAAUUUUUAAGGUCUUCAUGCAUUAAUGUUGAAUCUAGCAAAGCUUGUCCUGAUGUUGAAGGGGAAGCAUCAGGAUAAAUGUCGUUUGAUGAUGAUAGUGGUCUCGUCUUGGAAAUAUCAUUUGGGUCUUCCAAUAAUGUUAACAUAUUCUGAGCUGCUUUCUGCUUCGCAUCUUUUUUACUCAAAGCUUGUCCAGUUGCUGAGAAAUCUUUAUAUUUUACUUCAUAAGUAAAUAUACUUAUGUGCUUACCAGUUUCUGAACGAAGCAAUGUGUAAACUGGUAAGAAGCCCUCUUUCACUCCUAACUCUUGUAAAAUCAUUAUUGCCGUUUUAACCAUCUUUACUGAAUAAAAAUAAUUGAAUGAGGUGCUAUCGAAAUUGAGAAAUGUAACUUUUUCUUGAACGUUUUAACGUUUUUAAUAACUAAUAGGAACUUAAAAUUUUUUUCUUAUACGAUGCAGUACACGCCCUUAACAAGAGAAGAUGACUGACAAGUAUUGUACGUUGGGCGUUGUGCUGAUCACUUCUAACAAAGGGCCAUAGGUAUGGUCUACCUGGGAAAAAAGUUACCAGCAGAUCUGUCUACUGCGCAUUGCUCAAUCGAUUUUUCAUGUACCUAUAUACAUAUGAAGUGAAAUAUUAUUAUUAUUAUUUUAUAUUACAUGAAAACAUAAUAUUAAUAAAAAAUUAAGUGCAUAUGUAUAUAUAUAUGUGUGCGUGUGUGUAAGCAUAUAUAUAUACAUAUAUAUAUAUACAUACACAUAUAUAAUAUAUAUACAUAUAUAAACAUAUAUACAUGUAUAUAUAUUAUAUACCGCAUUACAUAGGACAAGAUUCAACAUCAUGGGACAAAAGAACAAGACUUCUCGAUGUUACUCGCUAAAUAUUUUCCAUUUCAUUUUUUUCCUCACUUAUUGUCGUCCACUGAUUGUUGGUUAUUUUCGUUUGUCUUUAAAUACUAGCGUAUAUAUGAGUAAAAUGUGCUGACGUAAUAAGUCCCUUUAAAAGGCAUACAUGGAAGGAGAAAUUCAGCAAGAUGGUGGAAAUACAAUUACUAUUGAACUUAGAAAAUACGUGGAAUUAUGGGUAUAUUUAGGUCAAUUUUCUUGAAAUAUUAUAUACACGAAAGCUUUCUUUAUUCGAAUUGAUAAUAUUUCUGCUUGUAAUACGUUAUAUAAUUACAUGCUAAAUUAUUUUUAAAAUUCGAUCGGUUGAACAGAGGAGAGUAUACAAAUAUGUACGCAGUCAAAAAUUUUCAUUGUACGGUAUAGAUUAUUUUUAUUUAUAUCAAUUAUUGUAUAAACACAACCAUAAGAAGUACAAUAUCAUGUGGAAUAUUACGGGUAGACAACAAUAAUAGAAUAUAUAUAUUUUCAUCACAACUUAGUUAAUUUUGUAAUAUUUUAUAUUGUAUGUUAUCAAAAAUAAAAAAAAAAUUAUACAAAGAUGAGAGGUCACUUUGAUAAAUCGCGCUGGGAACAUUGCUUCCUUUUUUUUUCGACGAUUCCUCCUUUUUUUUUCCCCCAAAGAAAAAAAUUCAAAUAGAUAUUAAAUAUUUUUUAUAUUAUGCUUAGAAAUUGAGAAUUUUAUUGUUUAAAUAUAAAUUAUGAAAACAAUAUAGCGUAUGGAUAAUCUAUCCAAGUUAACAAAUGAAAUAAUUAUAUAUUUAUACUAUUACAUAGUAUAUCAAUAUAAUCAAACAUUACAUAAGUUUCUCAUCCGACACAAAGUUUCUUUUAAAGUGUUGGCAAAUUGUGUUGCGUCUGCUUUUGUACUGGAUUUGAAGGGAGAGCAACGAAAGAGAAUAUCGUUCUCUCGAGGAUUAUAACAACAACCGUAACCUUCUGGUACAACCGGACCGUAACACAUAAAUGACGAUGUUUUAUGAGGUACCUGUUGAUUAGAGAAUUACAUCAAAACUUGUAUCCACAAUUGUAAACAUGUUUAUUCGGAAUAACUAUGUUUAUUUCUUACUUGACUCGUUGUUAAAUCAUAGUAUGUACUUUUAAUAUAUGCAACAUCCUUAUACAAUUCUGGAAGACACAUUGAUUCGAUAGAAGCUAUCAUUUUUAAACCAAAUAAGUGCCUAUCGACACCUUGUCCAAAUGAAGGCUGAGCAGAAAAAUAAAUUUUAUAUCUUUAAAUAAUUUGUUAAUAGAAGACUUCAUUAAAGCAUCGAGUAGUUUGAAAUAAUCUUUCACUAAUCGAUAUAUUCAUCUGAUAUCUAAUAAUGACCUCGGUUGCAGUCGUUUUGUUCGUUUAUGGCUGUAAACAUCAUCUCUUUUCAUUGUUUUUCAUCCGUACAUCCAUCUUUACUCAUGGCUUUUGCAAAUGACACAGAUUCGGUGCUAGUCCAUCUGAUACAUUCUGUCCUUGCAUUUUUAAAUCUUCUUAAUCCAGCGCUUCCAUAAUGAUUAGGUGAAAAGAAAAUCAUAAUUAUUCUUUUGCUUGUUGUGUAAUUUUGCACAUAAUAAAUAUAAUUUUACGCAUAGUUAAUGUGCGUGUAGUAAUUAUAUGACAUUACAUGUAUGACACUUAAUUAGAUAGUAAUAUAAACCUACCUAUAAUUCCAGGAGAAGUUGCUAAAUUACUCCACAAUUGUAUUGUUUUAUAUGGAAUCUGAAAUAAUUUAACAUCUUCGUACAAAGUUAAAUAAAUAAUGUCAGAUGAUCUGGAAAAAGAAAAAUAGCUUUGGGUUUUACUCCAACUUCUGUCCCAUGUUUGACUAGUCUAUAGCCCUCUAGAAGAAUCUGAUCGUUCUUCUUUCGUUUCUUACGAGACUUUACAUUUAUCAUUAAAGACCUAGAAAAAAGAUAUAUUUGUAUAUCAUUUUAUUAUUAAGAUAUUAUGAUAUUGUAUAUUGUAUACUGACCUAGUAAUACUAUCAUUUUCUUUGAGUUUGAUGAUACGAUUGCUCCAUCCGUUUUUAUUAUUGAUCUUAUCACUUUCCUUAUCUAAAAGAGUUUCUUCAUUUGGAGAAACUUUUUUUUGUGAUUUAAUUUUUCUGACCAUGAUACUCUGUCGUUUUCUCUGUAAUAUCUUUGUAUCAGUCACAUUUUGAUCAUCAAACAACUCAUUUUUAUUCACUAUUGCAAUUGGUUUACGAUGUUCCCAUCUAGUAUACUUACAUUUUCUUUGUAGAUCUGUUGUAGGUUUAGCAAUAAAUGUAUCCAAAAUUUUUCUAUUACAAAUCACUCUCAAGUGUAGUUGUCUUAUACUGAACAGCAUUAUUUCACAAUUCCUUUAACACUUAUUUAUAGGUUAUAAAUAAAGCGGAAAUUAUCGCGUUUGAACGAUUUUCAUGAAUAGCGUCCCUUCCUGUAUAUUUCAAAUCAAUUGACAAUAAAUUGGCAGCGAUUAAGACGUAUAUCUUCAAACUUUCAUUCAUAACUUUUUAAUAAAAUAAAUAAUUAAUUUUUUAAUGUAAUAAAUAAGUAAUUUUUUAAUAAACAAAUAAAUAAUAAUGCAGAGAAUAAUGCAGAAAUUAGAAGAAAAGCAUUGACUGAAAUACGGGUAAAUUCAUAUAUUCCCGCCUAAUAACUUUUCAAACCAAAAAUAACAUGUUUCGAAUAGGGAAUUUUCUUUAUACACGUAACACGAUGACAAGUACUUUUACAGCCAUUUUUAUUUGCCUUUUGUUGUUACAAUUUCGGUUCUUGUAAAACGUCAAGAUUUUGUACUAUAUUUAUACAUUUACAGUUUCUUAGUUUACAUAUAACAAAGUCAAGAUGCAGUAUACGCCCAGAACAAGAGAAGAUGACUGAUAAGUAUUAUACGCUGGGUAUUGUGCUGAUCACUUUUCACAAAGGGCCAUAGAUAUGGUCUACCUGGGAAAAAAGUUAACAACCAGGAGAACUAUCUACUGCGCAUUGCUCAAUCAAUUUUUCAGAUACCUAUGUACAUAUGAAAUAGAAUAUUAUUAUUAUUAUUUUAUAUGACAUGAAAACAUAAUAUUAAUUAAAAAAUAUGUGUAUAUAUAUUUGUUUGUAUAUAUAUAUGCAUAUAUACAUGUAUAUAAAUUAUAUACCGUAUUACAUAGGACAAGAUUCAACAUCAUGGAACAAAAGAACAAGACUUCUCUAUGUUACUCAGUAAAUAUUUUCCAUUUCCUUUAUUUCCUCUCUUAUUGUCGUCCACUGAUUGUUGGUUAUAUUCGUUUGUCUUGAGAUACUAGCGUCUAUAUGAGUAAUGUGCUGACGCAAUAAGGCCGUUUCAUGGGCAUACAUGGAAGGAGAAGUUCAGCAAGAUGGUGGAAAUACAAUUACUAUUGAACUUAGAAUAUACGUGGAAUUAUGGGUAUAUUAAGGUUAAUUUUCUUGAAAUACUAUAUACACAAAAGCUUUGUUUAUUCGAAUUGAUAAUAUUUCUGCUUGUAAUACGUUAUAUAAUUACAUGCUAAAUUAUUUUUAAAAUUCGAUCGGUUGAACAGAGGAGAGUAUAUAAAUAUGUACGCAGUCAUAAAUUUUCAUUGUACGGUAUAGAUUAUUUUUAUUUAUGUCAAUUAUUGUAUAAACACAACCAUAAGAAGUACAAUAUCAUGUGGAAUAUUACGGGUAGACAACAAUAAUCGAAUAUAUUUUCAUCGUACAUUAGUUAAUUUUGUAAUAUUUUAUAUUAUAUGUUAUCAAAAAUAAAAAAAAAUUAUACAAAGAUGAGAGGUCACUUUGAUAAAUCGAACUGGGAACAAUGCUUCCUUUUUUUUCGACGAUUCCUCUUUUUUUUUCCCCAAAGAAAAAAAUUCAAAUCCAUAUUAAAUAUUUUUUAUAUUAUGCUUAGAAAUUGAGAAUUUUAUUGUUUAAAUAUAAAUUAUGAAAACAAUAUAGCGUAUGGAUAAUUUAUCCAAGUUAACAAAUGAAAUGAAUUUAGCAAUAAAUGUAUCCAAAAUUUUUCUAUUACAAAUCACUCUCAAGUGUAGUUGUCUUAUACUGAACAGCAUUAUUUCACAAUUCCUUUAACACUUAUUUAUAGAUCAUAAAUAAAGCGGAAAUUAUCGCGUUUGAACGAUUUUCAUGAAUAGCGUACCAGCCUGUAUAUUUUAAAUCAAAUCACAAUAAAUUAGCAGCGAUUAAGACGUAUAUCUUCAAACUUUCAUUCAUAACUUAAUAUAAUAAAUAAUUUUUUAACAAAUAAAUAAAUAAUAAUGCAGAAUAAUGCAGAAAUUAGAAGAAAAGCAUUGACUGAAAUACGAGUUAAUUCAUAUAUUCCCGGAUAAUAACUUAUCAAACCAAAAAUAACAUGUUUCGCAUAGGGAAUUGUCUUUAUACACGUAAUACGAUGACAAGUACUUUUACAGCCAUUUUUAUUUGCCUUUUGUUGUUACAAUUUCGGUUCUUGUAAAACGUCAAGAUUUUGUACUAUAUUUAUACAUUUACAGUUUCUUAGUUUACAUAUAACAAAGUCAAGAUGCAGUAUACGCCCAGAACAAGAGAAGAUGACUGAUAAGUAUUAUACGUUGGGUAUUGUGCUGAUCACUUUUCACAAAGGGCCAUAGAUAUGGUCUACCUUGGAAAAAAGUUAACAACCAGGAGAACUAUCUACUGCGCAUUGCUCAAUCAAUUUUUCAGAUACCUAUGUACAUAUGAAAUAAAAUAUUAUUAUUAUUAUUUUAUAUUAAAUGAAAACAUAAUAUGAAUUAAAAAAUAUCUGUGUAUAUAUAUAUGUUUGUAUAUAUAUAUAUGCAUAUAUACAUGUAUAUAAAUUAUAUACCGUAUUACAUAGGAGAAGAUUCAACAUCAUGGGACAAAAGAACAAGACUUCUCGAUGUUACCCCCUAAAUAUUUUCCAUUUCAUUUUUUUCCUCACUUAUUGUCGCCCACUGAUUGUUGGUUACAUUCGCUUGGCUUUAGAUACUAGCGUCUAGAUGACUAAUGUGCUGACGUAAUAAGUCCCUUUAAAAGGCAUACAUGGAAGGAGAAAUUCAGCAAGAUGGUGGAAAUACAGUUACUAUUGAACUUAGAAAAUACGUGGAAUUAUGGGUAUAUUUAGGUCAACUUUCUUGAAAUAUUAUAUACCCAAAAGCUUUCUUUAUUCGAAUUGAUAAUAUUUCUGCUUGUAAUACGUUAUAUAAUUACAUGCUAAAUUAUUUUUAAAAUUCGAUCGGUUGAACAGAGGAGAGUAUACAAAUAUGUACGCAGUCAAAAAUUUUCAUUGUACGGUAUAGAUUAUUUUUAUUUAUAUCAAUUAUUGUAUAAACACAACCAUAAGAAGUACAAUAUCAUGUGGAAUAUUACGGGUAGACAACAAUAAUAGAAUAUAUAUAUUUUCAUCACAACUUAGUUAAUUUUGUAAUAUUUUAUAUUGUAUGUUAUCAAAAAUAAAAAAAAAAUUAUACAAAGAUGAGAGGUCACUUUGAUAAAUCGCGCUGGGAACAUUGCUUCCUUUUUUUUUCGACGAUUCCUCCUUUUUUUUUCCCCCAAAGAAAAAAAUUCAAAUAGAUAUUAAAUAUUUUUUAUAUUAUGCUUAGAAAUUGAGAAUUUUAUUGUUUAAAUAUAAAUUAUGAAAACAAUAUAGCGUAUGGAUAAUCUAUCCAAGUUAACAAAUGAAAUAAUUAUAUAUUUAUACUAUUACAUAGUAUAUCAAUAUAAUCAAACAUUACAUAAGUUUCUCAUCCGACACAAAGUUUCUUUUAAAGUGUUGGCAAAUUGUGUUGCGUCUGCUUUUGUACUGGAUUUGAAGGGAGAGCAACGAAAGAGAAUAUCGUUCUCUCGAGGAUUAUAACAACAACCGUAACCUUCUGGUACAACCGGACCGUAACACAUAAAUGACGAUGUUUUAUGAGGUACCUGUUGAUUAGAGAAUUACAUCAAAACUUGUAUCCACAAUUGUAAACAUGUUUAUUCGGAAUAACUAUGUUUAUUUCUUACUUGACUCGUUGUUAAAUCAUAGUAUGUACUUUUAAUAUAUGCAACAUCCUUAUACAAUUCUGGAAGACACAUUGAUUCGAUAGAAGCUAUCAUUUUUAAACCAAAUAAGUGCCUAUCGACACCUUGUCCAAAUGAAGGCUGAGCAGAAAAAUAAAUUUUAUAUCUUUAAAUAAUUUGUUAAUAGAAGACUUCAUUAAAGCAUCGAGUAGUUUGAAAUAAUCUUUCACUAAUCGAUAUAUUCAUCUGAUAUCUAAUAAUGACCUCGGUUGCAGUCGUUUUGUUCGUUUAUGGCUGUAAACAUCAUCUCUUUUCAUUGUUUUUCAUCCGUACAUCCAUCUUUACUCAUGGCUUUUGCAAAUGACACAGAUUCGGUGCUAGUCCAUCUGAUACAUUCUGUCCUUGCAUUUUUAAAUCUUCUUAAUCCAGCGCUUCCAUAAUGAUUAGGUGAAAAGAAAAUCAUAAUUAUUCUUUUGCUUGUUGUGUAAUUUUGCACAUAAUAAAUAUAAUUUUACGCAUAGUUAAUGUGCGUGUAGUAAUUAUAUGACAUUACAUGUAUGACACUUAAUUAGAUAGUAAUAUAAACCUACCUAUAAUUCCAGGAGAAGUUGCUAAAUUACUCCACAAUUGUAUUGUUUUAUAUGGAAUCUGAAAUAAUUUAACAUCUUCGUACAAAGUUAAAUAAAUAAUGUCAGAUGAUCUGGAAAAAGAAAAAUAGCUUUGGGUUUUACUCCAACUUCUGUCCCAUGUUUGACUAGUCUAUAGCCCUCUAGAAGAAUCUGAUCGUUCUUCUUUCGUUUCUUACGAGACUUUACAUUUAUCAUUAAAGACCUAGAAAAAAGAUAUAUUUGUAUAUCAUUUUAUUAUUAAGAUAUUAUGAUAUUGUAUAUUGUAUACUGACCUAGUAAUACUAUCAUUUUCUUUGAGUUUGAUGAUACGAUUGCUCCAUCCGUUUUUAUUAUUGAUCUUAUCACUUUCCUUAUCUAAAAGAGUUUCUUCAUUUGGAGAAACUUUUUUUUGUGAUUUAAUUUUUCUGACCAUGAUACUCUGUCGUUUUCUCUGUAAUAUCUUUGUAUCAGUCACAUUUUGAUCAUCAAACAACUCAUUUUUAUUCACUAUUGCAAUUGGUUUACGAUGUUCCCAUCUAGUAUACUUACAUUUUCUUUGUAGAUCUGUUGUAGGUUUAGCAAUAAAUGUAUCCAAAAUUUUUCUAUUACAAAUCACUCUCAAGUGUAGUUGUCUUAUACUGAACAGCAUUAUUUCACAAUUCCUUUAACACUUAUUUAUAGGUUAUAAAUAAAGCGGAAAUUAUCGCGUUUGCACGAUUUUCAUGAAUAGCGUCCCUUCCUGUAUAUUUCAAAUCAAUUGACAAUAAAUUGGCAGCGAUUAAGACGUAUAUCUUCAAACUUUCAUUCAUAACUUUUUAAUAAAAUAAAUAAUUAAUUUUUUAAUGUAAUAAAUAAGUAAUUUUUUAAUAAACAAAUAAAUAAUAAUGCAGAGAAUAAUGCAGAAAUUAGAAGAAAAGCAUUGACUGAAAUACGGGUAAAUUCAUAUAUUCCCGCCUAAUAACUUUUCAAACCAAAAAUAACAUGUUUCGAAUAGGGAAUUUUCUUUAUACACGUAACACGAUGACAAGUACUUUUACAGCCAUUUUUAUUUGCCUUUUGUUGUUACAAUUUCGGUUCUUGUAAAACGUCAAGAUUUUGUACUAUAUUUAUACAUUUACAGUUUCUUAGUUUACAUAUAACAAAGUCAAGGGUUACCAUUACAUUUGAUUACUAUUACGAUUACGUUGCAAUUACAACACGAUUACGACAUCAAUCAUGAUUACGACUACGACUACGACUACGACUACGGUCACAACACAAUCACCAUCACGCGCACGACUACGACUACGCCUACCACACAACUACAACUACAAUCAGGAUAAAGCUCAUGAUUCUGACUCCGAUUAAGAUUAAUAUGAAGAUUAAAAUUCCGAUUGCGACUACGACGACUACGAUCACGAUCACGAUCACGUUCACGAUCACGAUCACGAUUAUUGUCACAAUUAUUACCACAAUUACGAACACAAUUACGAUUGUAUAAAUUGUGAUAUCAACCUAUAUAUAUUAUAAUAUCAAAAAGUAAAUGUCAGAACGUAAAAUUGUAAGAACUACUGUAAGAAAUUAGACAUUUAUAUUUACUCCAAGUAUCUUAUAAUCGUGUCAAGAAUAUUAACUAGAGCUAUUGCUCCUGCAACCAGCGAACUGUUAUGUGCUCCAAAUUGAAUUAUAGCUACAGGAGUACUUAUUUUAAAAGCAGUUAUCUUUAGCAAUGGAUUCUUGCUAUGUAUAAUCUUUUUUUCCAUGGAUAAUUUCAUUUUCUCUUCAAUAUAUAUUAAAAUCUCCUGUUCCAGAGAAGUUACUCUUACGAUGUCAUAUUCCUCUAUAUCCAUAAAACUUCUCUUAAAGCCUUUGACAGUAUUCAAUAUUUCAAGUAAUGUUUCCUCGCUAUCAUUACAAACAGUAUUGUAAACGUACUGUUUGAAGAACAAAUGACGAUUUUGUAAUUCACUAACAUCCUUUGGAAGUAUUGGUCCUAGGUUACUCUUGAUAUUUGCAUCUAGAAAUUUUUUCUUCUUACUUGCUUGAGAUUCGGUUUCGUUUAGUUCAGAAUUAUGUAAUUGUAAACUUAAGUCGUCAAGAACAUCUUUGUCUAUUCCAGACAAAUCGUCACAGUGUUUAAAAGGAUUAGAAGAUCCAGAUUCAUCUUUGUUUGCAACUGACGGAUGAUUAGUAUUUGUGAGACGUUCUAACAUCUUUUUUGCUACUCUUUGUUUGACUUGCUUUUUUCUAGUUCCUGUUGCUUCUUCAGUUAUUGACCCUACUGUACAGGACAUAGUAAACACUUGUUCGUGUCCUAGGCCAGUUAUAUCCGUAAUUUGAUACUCUGCCUGCAUUAAUUUAUUUUCCCCACAGUAUUGCUAAAAAACCAGAAAACUUUCUUACGAUCAUAUUAUAAACAAAAAGUAUUUACAAGAAAUAGAUAGUAAACUAUAAAGAGAAUGAUGAUGAAACUAUAUAUAUUCUAUUAUAUAUAUAUAUAUAUAUAUAUAUAUAUAUAUAUAUAUAUAUAUAUAUAUGUAUAUAUAUUCACAAAAUUAAAUAGAGAAAAAAAUAAUAAUUUAAAUGAGUCAUACUUGCAAAGAUCCAACAUAAUUUUUAAGGUCUUCAUGCAUUAAUGUUGAAUCUAGCAAAGCUUGUCUUGAUGUAGAAGGGGAAGUAUCAGGAUAAAUGUCGUUUGAUGAUGAUAGUGGUUUGGUCUUGGAAAUAUCAUUUGGGUCUUCCAAUAAUGUUAACAUAUUCUGAGCUGCUUUCUGCUUCGCGUCUUUUUUAUUCAAAGCUUGUCCAGUUGCUGAGAACUCUUUAUAUUGUACUUUAAAAGUAAAUACAUUUAUUUGCUUACCAGUUUGUGAAGAAAGCAAUGUGUAAACUGGUAAGAAGCCCUCUUUCAUUCCUAACUCUUGUAAAAUCAUUAUUGCUGUUUUACCCAUUUUACUGAAUAAAAAUAAUUGAAUGAGAUGAUAUCGAAAUUGAGAAAUGUAACUUUAUCUUGAACGUUUUAACAUUUUUAAGAACUAAUAAGAACUUACAUUUUUUUUUCUUAUAAGAUGCAGUAUACGCCCAGAACAAGAGAAGAUGACUGAUAAGUAUUAUACGCUGGGUAUUGUGCUGAUCACUUUUCACAAAGGGCCAUAGAUAUGGUCUACCUGGGAAAAAAGUUAACAACCAGGAGAACUAUCUACUGCGCAUUGCUCAAUCAAUUUUUCAGAUACCUAUGUACAUAUGAAAUAGAAUAUUAUUAUUAUUAUUUUAUAUGACAUGAAAACAUAAUAUUAAUUAAAAAAUAUGUGUAUAUAUAUUUGUUUGUAUAUAUAUAUGCAUAUAUACAUGUAUAUAAAUUAUAUACCGUAUUACAUAGGACAAGAUUCAACAUCAUGGAACAAAAGAACAAGACUUCUCUAUGUUACUCAGUAAAUAUUUUCCAUUUCCUUUAUUUCCUCUCUUAUUGUCGUCCACUGAUUGUUGGUUAUAUUCGUUUGUCUUGAGAUACUAGCGUCUAUAUGAGUAAUGUGCUGACGCAAUAAGGCCGUUUCAUGGGCAUACAUGGAAGGAGAAGUUCAGCAAGAUGGUGGAAAUACAAUUACUAUUGAACUUAGAAUAUACGUGGAAUUAUGGGUAUAUUAAGGUUAAUUUUCUUGAAAUACUAUAUACACAAAAGCUUUGUUUAUUCGAAUUGAUAAUAUUUCUGCUUGUAAUACGUUAUAUAAUUACAUGCUAAAUUAUUUUUAAAAUUCGAUCGGUUGAACAGAGGAGAGUAUAUAAAUAUGUACGCAGUCAUAAAUUUUCAUUGUACGGUAUAGAUUAUUUUUAUUUAUGUCAAUUAUUGUAUAAACACAACCAUAAGAAGUACAAUAUCAUGUGGAAUAUUACGGGUAGACAACAAUAAUCGAAUAUAUUUUCAUCGUACAUUAGUUAAUUUUGUAAUAUUUUAUAUUAUAUGUUAUCAAAAAUAAAAAAAAAUUAUACAAAGAUGAGAGGUCACUUUGAUAAAUCGAACUGGGAACAAUGCUUCCUUUUUUUUCGACGAUUCCUCUUUUUUUUUCCCCAAAGAAAAAAAUUCAAAUCCAUAUUAAAUAUUUUUUAUAUUAUGCUUAGAAAUUGAGAAUUUUAUUGUUUAAAUAUAAAUUAUGAAAACAAUAUAGCGUAUGGAUAAUUUAUCCAAGUUAACAAAUGAAAUGAAUUUAGCAAUAAAUGUAUCCAAAAUUUUUCUAUUACAAAUCACUCUCAAGUGUAGUUGUCUUAUACUGAACAGCAUUAUUUCACAAUUCCUUUAACACUUAUUUAUAGAUCAUAAAUAAAGCGGAAAUUAUCGCGUUUGAACGAUUUUCAUGAAUAGCGUACCAGCCUGUAUAUUUUAAAUCAAAUCACAAUAAAUUAGCAGCGAUUAAGACGUAUAUCUUCAAACUUUCAUUCAUAACUUAAUAUAAUAAAUAAUUUUUUAACAAAUAAAUAAAUAAUAAUGCAGAAUAAUGCAGAAAUUAGAAGAAAAGCAUUGACUGAAAUACGAGUUAAUUCAUAUAUUCCCGGAUAAUAACUUAUCAAACCAAAAAUAACAUGUUUCGCAUAGGGAAUUGUCUUUAUACACGUAAUACGAUGACAAGUACUUUUACAGCCAUUUUUAUUUGCCUUUUGUUGUUACAAUUUCGGUUCUUGUAAAACGUCAAGAUUUUGUACUAUAUUUAUACAUUUACAGUUUCUUAGUUUACAUAUAACAAAGUCAAGUACACGCCCUCAACAAGAGAAGAUGACUGACAAGUAUUGUACGUUGGGUAUUGUGCUAAUCACCUUUUACUAAUGGCCAUAGAUACGGUCUACCUCAGGAAAGAGUUACCAAUCAGCAGAUCUGUCUACUGCGCAUAGCUCAAUCGAUUUUUCAUAUACCUAUAUACAUAUGAAGUGAAAUAUUAUUAUUAUUAUUUUAUAUUACAUGAAAAUAAUAUUAAUAAAAAAUUAAGUGCAUAUGUAUAUAUAUGUGUGCGUGUGUGUAAGCAUAUAUAUAUACAUAUAUAUAUAUAUAUAUACAUACACAUAUAUAAUAUAUAUACAUAUAUAAACAUAUAUACAUGUAUAUAUAUUAUAUACCGCAUUACAUAGGACAAGAUUCAACAUCAUGGGACAAAAGAACAAGACUUCUCGAUGUUACUCGCUAAAUAUUUUCCAUUUCAUUUUUUUCCUCACUUAUUGUCGUCCACUGAUUGUUGGUUAUUUUCGUUUGUCUUUAAAUACUAGCGUAUAUAUGAGUAAAAUGUGCUGACGUAAUAAGUCCCUUUAAAAGGCAUACAUGGAAGGAGAAAUUCAGCAAGAUGGUGGAAAUACAAUUACUAUUGAACUUAGAAAAUACGUGGAAUUAUGGGUAUAUUUAGGUCAAUUUUCUUGAAAUAUUAUAUACACGAAAGCUUUCUUUAUUCGAAUUGAUAAUAUUUCUGCUUGUAAUACGUUAUAUAAUUACAUGCUAAAUUAUUUUUAAAAUUCGAUCGGUUGAACAGAGGAGAGUAUACAAAUAUGUACGCAGUCAAAAAUUUUCAUUGUACGGUAUAGAUUAUUUUUAUUUAUAUCAAUUAUUGUAUAAACACAACCAUAAGAAGUACAAUAUCAUGUGGAAUAUUACGGGUAGACAACAAUAAUAGAAUAUAUAUAUUUUCAUCACAACUUAGUUAAUUUUGUAAUAUUUUAUAUUGUAUGUUAUCAAAAAUAAAAAAAAAAUUAUACAAAGAUGAGAGGUCACUUUGAUAAAUCGCGCUGGGAACAUUGCUUCCUUUUUUUUUCGACGAUUCCUCCUUUUUUUUUCCCCCAAAGAAAAAAAUUCAAAUAGAUAUUAAAUAUUUUUUAUAUUAUGCUUAGAAAUUGAGAAUUUUAUUGUUUAAAUAUAAAUUAUGAAAACAAUAUAGCGUAUGGAUAAUCUAUCCAAGUUAACAAAUGAAAUAAUUAUAUAUUUAUACUAUUACAUAGUAUAUCAAUAUAAUCAAACAUUACAUAAGUUUCUCAUCCGACACAAAGUUUCUUUUAAAGUGUUGGCAAAUUGUGUUGCGUCUGCUUUUGUACUGGAUUUGAAGGGAGAGCAACGAAAGAGAAUAUCGUUCUCUCGAGGAUUAUAACAACAACCGUAACCUUCUGGUACAACCGGACCGUAACACAUAAAUGACGAUGUUUUAUGAGGUACCUGUUGAUUAGAGAAUUACAUCAAAACUUGUAUCCACAAUUGUAAACAUGUUUAUUCGGAAUAACUAUGUUUAUUUCUUACUUGACUCGUUGUUAAAUCAUAGUAUGUACUUUUAAUAUAUGCAACAUCCUUAUACAAUUCUGGAAGACACAUUGAUUCGAUAGAAGCUAUCAUUUUUAAACCAAAUAAGUGCCUAUCGACACCUUGUCCAAAUGAAGGCUGAGCAGAAAAAUAAAUUUUAUAUCUUUAAAUAAUUUGUUAAUAGAAGACUUCAUUAAAGCAUCGAGUAGUUUGAAAUAAUCUUUCACUAAUCGAUAUAUUCAUCUGAUAUCUAAUAAUGACCUCGGUUGCAGUCGUUUUGUUCGUUUAUGGCUGUAAACAUCAUCUCUUUUCAUUGUUUUUCAUCCGUACAUCCAUCUUUACUCAUGGCUUUUGCAAAUGACACAGAUUCGGUGCUAGUCCAUCUGAUACAUUCUGUCCUUGCAUUUUUAAAUCUUCUUAAUCCAGCGCUUCCAUAAUGAUUAGGUGAAAAGUAAAUCAUAAUUAUUCUUUUGCUUGUUGUGUAAUUUUGCACAUAAUAAAUAUAAUUUUACGCAUAGUUAAUGUGCGUGUAGUAAUUAUAUGACAUUACAUGUAUGACACUUAAUUAGAUAGUAAUAUAAACCUACCUAUAAUUCCAGGAGAAGUUGCUAAAUUACUCCACAAUUGUAUUGUUUUAUAUGGAAUCUGAAAUAAUUUAACAUCUUCGUACAAAGUUAAAUAAAUAAUGUCAGAUGAUCUGGAAAAAGAAAAAUAGCUUUGGGUUUUACUCCAACUUCUGUCCCAUGUUUGACUAGUCUAUAGCCCUCUAGAAGAAUCUGAUCGUUCCUCUUUCGUUUCUUAAGAGACUUUACAUUUAUCAUUAAAGACCUAGAAAAAAGAUAUAUUUGUAUAUCAUUUUAUUAUUAAGAUAUUAUGAUAUUGUAUAUUGUAUACUGACCUAGUAAUACUAUCAUUUUCUUUGAGUUUGAUGAUACGAUUACUCCAUCCGUUUUUAUUAUUGAUCUUAUCACUUUCCUUAUCUAAAAGAGUUUCUUCAUUUGGAGAAACUUUUUUUUGUGAUUUAAUUUUUCUGACCAUGAUACUCUGUCGUUUUCUCUGUAAUAUCUUUGUAUCAGUCACAUUUUGAUCAUCAAACAACUCAUUUUUAUUCACUAUUGCAAUUGGUUUACGAUGUUCCCAUCUAGUAUACUUACAUUUUCUUUGUAGAUUUGUUGUAGGUUUAGCAAUAAAUGUAUCCAAAAUUUUUCUAUUACAAAUCACUCUCAAGUGUAGUUGUCUUAUACUGAACAGCAUUAUUUCACAAUUCCUUUAACACUUAUUUAUAGGUUAUAAAUAAAGCGGAAAUUAUCGCGUUUGAACGAUUUUCAUGAAUAGCGUCCCUUCCUGUAUAUUUCAAAUCAAUUGACAAUAAAUUGGCAGCGAUUAAGACGUAUAUCUUCAAACUUUCAUUCAUAACUUUUUAAUAAAAUAAAUAAUUAAUUUUUUAAUGUAAUAAAUAAGUAAUUUUUUAAUAAACAAAUAAAUAAUAAUGCAGAGAAUAAUGCAGAAAUUAGAAGAAAAGCAUUGACUGAAAUACGGGUAAAUUCAUAUAUUCCCGCCUAAUAACUUUUCAAACCAAAAAUAACAUGUUUCGAAUAGGGAAUUUUCUUUAUACACGUAACACGAUGACAAGUACUUUUACAGCCAUUUUUAUUUGCCUUUUGUUGUUACAAUUUCGGUUCUUGUAAAACGUCAAGAUUUUGUACUAUAUUUAUACAUUUACAGUUUCUUAGUUUACAUAUAACAAAGUCAAGGGUUACCAUUACAUUUGAUUACUAUUACGAUUACGUUGCAAUUACAACAACGAUUACGACAUCAAUCAUGAUUACUAGUACGACUAUGACUACGAUCACAACACGAUCACGAUCACGAUCAAGACUACGACUACGACUACGAUCACGAUAACGACCACGAUUCUGAUUCCGAUUAAGAUUAAGAUUAAGAAUCGGAUUACGACUACGACUACAACUACAAUCACGAUCACGACUACGAUUCCGAUUAAGAUUAAGGUUAAGAUUAAGAUUCCGAAUAAGAUUAAGAUCCCGAUUACGACUACGACUACGAUCACGAUCACGAUUAUUGUCACGAUUAUUAUCACAAUUGCGAACACAAUUACGAUUGUAUAAAUUGUGAUAUCGACAUAUAUAAAUUAUAAUAUCAAAAAGUAAAUGUCAGAACGUAAAAUUGUAAGAACAACUGUAAGAAAUUGGACAUUUACAUUUACUCCAAGAAUGUUAUAAUCGUGUCAAGAAUAUUAGCUAGAGCUAUUGCUCCUGAAACCACAGAAUCUUUAUGUGCUCCAAUUUGAGUUAUAGGUAUAGGAGCAUUUAUUCUAAAAACAGUUAACUGUAGCGAUGGAUCAUUGGAACCUAUAAUCUUUCUUUCUAUGGAUAAUUUCAUUUUCUCUUGAAUAUAUGUUAAAAUCUCCUGUUCCAGAGAAGUUAAAGUUACGAUGUCACAUUUCUCUAUAUCUGUAAAAUUCGUCUUAAAGCUCUUGACAGUAUUAAAUAUUACCAUGAAUUUUUCCUCGCUACCAUUGCAAACAGUAUUGUAAACGUACUGUUUGAAGAACGAAUGAUAAUUUUCGAAAUCAAUAACUUCAUUUUGAAAUAUUCGUCCUAGGUAACUCUUGACCUUUGCAUCUAGAUAUUUUUUUUUCUUAUUUGCUUGAGAUUUGGUUUCGUUUAGUUUACAAUUAUCUAUUUUUAAACUUAACUUGUCAAGAACAUCAUUGUCUAUGUCAGACAACUUGUCACAGUCUUCAAAAGGAUUAUAAGAUCCGCAUUCAUCUUUGUUUGCAACUGACGGAUCAUUAGUAUUUGUGAGACGUUCUAAUAUCUUUUUUGCUACUCUUUGUUUGACUUGCUUUUUUGUAGUUCCCGUUGCUUCUUCAGUUAUUGACCCUACUGUACAGGACAUGGUAAACACUUGUUCGUGUGCUAGGCCAGUUAUAUCAGUAAUUUGAUACUCUGCCUGCGUUAAUUUAUUUUCUACACAGUAUUCCUAAAAAACCAGAAAACUUUCUUAUGAUCAUGUUAUAGACAAAAAGUAUUUACAAAAAAUAUAUAGUAAACUGUAAAGAGAAUGAUGAUGAAAGUAUAUAUAUUCUAUUAUAUAUGUACUUUUAUAUAUAUAUAUAUAUAUAUAUAUAUAUAUAUUCACGAAAUUAAAUAAAGAAAAAAUAAUAACUCAAAGGAGUCAUACUUGCAAAGAUCCAACAUAAUUUUUAAGGUCUUCAUGCAUUAAUGUUGAAUCUAGCAAAGCUUGUCCUGAUGUUGAAGGGGAAGCAUCAGGAUAAAUGUCGUUUGAUGAUGAUAGUGGUCUCGUCUUGGAAAUAUCAUUUGGGUCUUCCAAUAAUGUUAACAUAUUCUGAGCUGCUUUCUGCUUCGCAUCUUUUUUACUCAAAGCUUGUCCAGUUGCUGAGAAAUCUUUAUAUUUUACUUCAUAAGUAAAUAUACUUAUGUGCUUACCAGUUUCUGAACGAAGCAAUGUGUAAACUGGUAAGAAGCCCUCUUUCACUCCUAACUCUUGUAAAAUCAUUAUUGCCGUUUUAACCAUCUUUACUGAAUAAAAAUAAUUGAAUGAGGUGCUAUCGAAA